AAUACGGAGGGUGCGAGCGUUGUUCGGAAUUAUUGGGCGUAAAGCGCGUGUAGGCGGCUCCUUAAGUCUGAUGUGAAAGCCCCGGGCUCAACCUGGGAAGUGCAUUGGAAACUGGGGAACUUGAAUACGGGAGAGGGCAGUGGAAUUCCUGGUGUAGGAGUGAGAUCCGUAGAUAUCAGGAGGAACACCGGUGGCGAAGGCGGCUGCCUGGACCGAUAUUGACGCUGAGACGCGAAAGCGUGGGGAGCAAACAGGA
rnacentral:rRNA from 1 species